GUGUGCGCCAGCUGCAGCAGCAACUCAAGUGGUGGAAGUCCUGAGUCCCACAGCAGCCAGCAGGUGGUGGUGGUCGAAUGCCGCAGUGGAGGCCUAGAAGGCAAAGGCUUCACCCACAACCUGGAAUUCUGACCCUCAAAGCAGAAAUGUGUACCAGUUCAACUCAAAUUGAGGUAGGAAUCAUCAGGAUUUGCUAGUAGUCAACUGAGCCCCACCAUAGUCUAGCUCCUGUGGAGGGGACCUGGCACAAAAGCAAGGUAAGUAAUUUUAAAGGAACAGUGUGGAAUUUUUGUUGUUGUUGUUGCAUCUGGUGUUAUACAAAUUAAGCUUUCAUUUUGCAUUUCAUUUUAAAAAUUUUUAGUUCACACUUAAAAUAUUUAUAGAGUUGCAUUAAUCUAAGACAUCUGUAGUGAGUUCAGUAGAUUAAUACUUUGUAGACUGAGGAAUGUGUUUAAUUUCUUCAUAUUUAGUAACUUUUUGUUUCACUUUAUAGAUAUGUCCACACAAAGCAAACUAAAAUCUUAAAAAUCAAAAACAAAGACACUGUUCUUCUCCAGCAAUAACUUUGGCAUACUGCUUUGUUUUAUCUUGUUGGUGAUUGAUGGUACUGAUGAUGGUUUUCUGAGACAAGGUUAUAUUACAUGACACAUAUAACAUAUGUCAUCUUAUAACAUAUAUGACAUCUCAGGCUGGCUUCAUACUUACUAUGCAUCUCCAGUUGGUAUGGACUCCAUAAUUCUCCUGCUUCAGCCUUUCAGGUACUAGCACAUGUGCUAUGCUGUCAUGGUCAACUGAGAUGUCUGAUGUCUGGGUUUCGUUUUGUGUGUGAGGUAUUUUUUUUGUUUUAUUUAUGUUAUCUGUAUGAGUGUUUUGCUGAAAGCAUGCGUGUGUACCAUGUGUGUGCUUGGUGCUUGCAGAGGUCAAGAGAAUGUAUCAGGUCCCCUGGAAUUAGAGGUAGACAUGCUUGAACCACCAUAUGGGUGCUAGGAACAGAACCCUAGUUCUCUGCAAAGCAGUACGUGUUCUUAACCAUUAAACUGUCUCUCCAACCCCUGAGAAGCCUGGUUUUGAUUCCUAUUUUCAUAUAUUCAGAAACACUGUGACGUCGUACUACAUCUGUGGUAACUAAGGCUCAGCUACCCACCACAGAUGCUAUGGGACACCUGAAAUGCAAUCAGUCUGCAUGUGAAGUUCUAUAAGAGUAAAACACAUACAAGAUUUCAACAACUAUUUAAAAAAAACAACUGUGUGCAAAUCAUUGACUUUUUAAAUUAACCGUGUGUUUGAGAUGUUAAUAUUUGGUAUAUGAUUUGGUUAGUGUCUUAGUUGCUGUUCUAUUGCUGUGAAGAAACACCAUGAUCAAGGUAGUUUAUUAAAGAAAGCAUCCACUUGGGACUUACUUUCAGUUUCAGAAGCAUUAGUUUGGGAUCAUUAUGACAGACAGGUGAGGUGCCAGGCAGGCAUGGUUCAAGAGCAGCAGCUUAAAGCUUGCAUCCUGAUCCAUAGCAGAGAGGGAGGAGGAAGAGAUAGGGAGGCUGGCAUGGGCUUUAGAAACCUCAAAACUCACUUCCUGUGACACACCUCCUCCAACAAGGCCACACCUUCCUAAUCCUUCUAAAACAGGUCCAUCAAUUUGGGAUCAAGCAUUCAAAUAUCCCUUGCCCAGGAAACUUCUAUGAACCAUGAAGAAAAUUGCUCUUUCCUACAGCUGAGUUCUAAUAGUUUCUACACAGGCAUGCAUAGUGUAAAUGCUAUUUUUUAAAAAUGAGUUUAUUUAUUAUUUGACAAUUAUACAAAAAUAUAUGUCCUUUUGUCCUGUUUGCCCCUCAUUGCUCCCUCAUUCUCUUUCCACUCCCUCUGAACAUAUCCUUAUUUCUAAUAUGUCUCCCUCCUAUUUUUUCUUUUUAAUAUCAACAAGGUAAUUUUAAAAUUUUUGCAUAUGAGUGCAUAUUGUGCCAUUGUGUAUAUAUGCAUGUUUUCAUGUGUAUGGGAUGCACACAUCAUGGGGUACACCCACAUAUGUGUAGAGAAUAGAGCUUGAUAGCAGAGUCUUCCUUACCUGUUCACCUUACAUAUUGGAGCUGAGUCUCUCUCUUGAACCUAGAGCUUACUGAUUUGGUUGGCCCAGCUAGCUAGCUUGCCUCAGGGAUUUGUGUCGCAGUCUCCUGGGUGUUGAAAUUAUAAAGUGAGUCGCAAUGCCUGAUUGUCAUUUACGUGUCUUUUAAUGAGCUCUGGAAAUCCGAACUCCCAAUAGUCACUCUUGCACAGCAAGUGAUUUUCCACUGUGCCAUCCACUCGUGUCCCCACCUAAGUUUAGUAAGGGGUGCUUACAUAAGCAUGGGUAUGGGGUAUUAUAAAUUUACCAGUGGCCACACCACUGAAGAAAACAGCACCCCUAAGACCCCAGCAACCAUUAGCUGCCAAUAGCUCCAUGGGACUAGAGACAGCCCAGGCUCUUACGUUCUUCCUGCCCUUUUGUCCAGGGUGUUUCCUGAGCCUGAAGGAAGUGUCUCCUGUUCAGGACUGAGCUCUCAACACUCACUUAUUCUCAGCACUUUGGCCAGUUAUGAGUUUCUACAUUAACUGCUGCCCAUUGCAGAAGGCAGCUUCCCCAGCCAGGUCUCCAAGCAUCAGUUAUCUCUGGGCUCACACACACCACUCUAAUUUCCUUGUUCUUUCUACAUGCCCCUACCUCGGGAGCUAUUCAUCUAGCAAAACUGGGCUACACUUGAUAAAAAAUCUUGAGUUUAGAAAUCUCUUCCAUAUUUAAUGUUUAAAGCAGUGUUUUCUCAGUUUCCAAGCUUUUCUUUUCUUGCCUAAGUUCCUUGGCUAGAACUUCAGGGGUCACAGUCUACAGAAGAGCUAAGAGCAGACAUCCUGGUCUUAGUCUGAUCUAAGAAAGAGACUCGGUAUUUCUGUGCCAAAUGUUAGCUGUGCUUGGGGCUUGUCACACACAGCACUUCUCAGAUUAUAUUCCUUCUAGUCCGCUAACUGAGAGCUUUCAUAAUGAGUAGGUGGAUGGAUGCAUAAUUCAUUUCUCUGUUUUACUCUGACUUUAAAAUGUAAAAUGUCAUAUUUCUAGAAUAAAUACCAUUUAUAUACAAUGUGAUAACAGCAUAGACUCUAUCAGUUAAGUAUCCAUAAUUAUCAAAUUUGAAAUAUAAAGUGUUCUAAAUCUGAAACUUUUAGAAAGCCACAAAGUAUUUAAAAGGUUUGUUUUGAGUUUGGGAGCUAUUGAGAUGGCUCAGUAGAUAAAGGCUUAUCCCCAAGCCUGACCACCCAAAUUCAAUGUCUGAAACCCAUACGUCAGAUAGAGAGGACAAAUUUCCCAAAGUUGUUCUCUGCAGACAUGCCAUUCAUAUGUGCAUGUAUUCACAUCUCUCUCUCUCUCUCUCUCUCUCUCUCUCUCUCUCUCUCUCUCUCUUCCUCUCUAAAUGUAAAAAAAAGUUUUAGACUUUAUGGUAUCAGAUGCAUGAAUAAUAUUGCACCAUAUCCAAGUUGAGAUUAAUCUCAGGGCUAUGUCCUCUGGCUAAUACUUAAAACUUUAUAAACAUAUUUUCAUAUGAUCAAGAUUAAGCACCCAGAAAACAAGGAAAUGUUAACCUGAACAUAAAAGCCACAAAGGACACAGCCCUCACAAUAGGGCAAGCCACCCUCCAUCCCUGAAACUACAAGUAAAACCAGAUGCCGGCCAAUGCCAUGCCUUCUGUGGACCACUUGAGAGCUGCAGGCCUAGAGAGUGAGCUGGGUAUCAAACUGCCUUUGUAGUGUGCCUGGUGCAUAGCAAAGUCGAUCAAAUCUCCAAGUAACAGAAUUUCAAAACCAAAUUUCAACUCAAAAAUUGAAAAUGUAGUUUCAUAUACAAGGACUUUACAAAUAUGAUGAAAAUGUAACAUACCUAUAAAUAAACCUUUUUGAAGCCCUGAAGAGAGAAAAUUAUUUUUCUUAGCUUUUGUUUUGUAUUAAAGAAUAAACAAAGUUAGGCUAGAUAAUAAGCUAUCCUUGGAUAGAAAGACUCAAUAUCCUAGAGAUGUCAGAUUCCUCAAUCCAGUGCAGCCUGGACCACAGCCAUAACUAAGGCCCAUGUAAAUCUUAACCUAACCUGCACAGGUACCCACUGGACUCCACUCAGCAGUCAUGGAACCACGGGGUCUGGGGAAAGAAGAAAAGCAGACCACCGACCCCCACAGGCAACUCUGAAUGCUCUGUUAGUCCAGACACAAAGUCCUGGAGUCAUUCUGCACCAUCAGCUGUUACAGACAACAACAAUGUCCCCUGCGGUGGACCUGUGAGACUUCAGGCCUGUCUGUGGCCUGGCCUGUCAGCCUCAUCUGAAGCAGCAGAUUCAGUCCAUUCUGUAAUCAAUUGAAAGGUUUGAGGUACAGGUCUGGAGCCUCUGUGCUAUUUUCUUGCCAGCUCCUCCCGGGACUUGUGUGUCAUGCUGCCUGUUUUAGCAUGUACUAUUUUUAAUGGUUCUCUAUUAUAAAAAAAUAUAGUGCUAAAAUAUUAAUAUGGCCAGGAAUAUGGCUUAGCAGGCAAAGCCUAACAACCUGUUUGACUUUCCAGCCCCACAUACUGGCAGAAGAAAACCAGCUUCCCCAAGUCGUCCUUUGAUCUCCACACACAUAAGAUAAGAACAUGUCUAAAAAUGGCUUGUUAUAGACCUUAACAUGCUGAUCCUUAAAAUGGUAUGAAAGAACAAAGGGGCAAAACUAGUCAAGAUCUCUUGACAAACAAGAUUGGGCAGUGAGAGGAUUAACUUAGACUGUAAGUGUGAUGGGCUUUAGAAUGACCAUGGACACAAACCUCUGAGUGCAUCUGUUGGGGGAGCUAAUUGAAGUAGGAAAACCUUCCCUAACUGUGGGGAGCACCAUUUCGUAUACUGGAAUCCUAAGCUGAGCGAAAAGGAGCAAGCGAGCUAAGCAUCAGCAUGCAUCUCUCGGCUCCUGACAGCAGACGCAGGGAGCAGAUCAAGCUCCUGCCCGCCAUGAUGUCUCCGCCAUGAUGUCGCUGAGAACUGAACAAAGCCUCCUUAGGUUGCUUUUGUUAUGUGUUCCAUCACGAUAAGAGCAGCAACUGAAAGAGGGAAUCGAUAAGAAAGCUGAUUCCAUUUUUAAAUUUUGACUGCCAAGAGCUUUCAAGCCUCAGCCUUUCUCCUUGAAUGCUACUUUUGCCGUGCUGGUAGACUCUAAAAGCCACGUAAGCUUCUCGCCAUACAUUAGCUCUCCAUCACUGUGACAAAACCCGACCGUGACGUAAGGGGGAAGCUUUGCUGUGAAUCAGCCACUGCUUCCUCGGCUUUGUAGGCUGGGGUGCUGCAUAGCACAGCAUGGCAGAAGCAUGGAGUAAAGGACUGCCCCCUGCACAGGGGAAGUAAGGCCAAUCCACCUUCUAGGGUAUCUUCAAUGAGCUAGCCUCCUUCUCCUGGGUCCCACCUACCGUUUCCACAGCCUCCUACUGUGGUCAGGGAUGGGACUGAGCCUUCGGCAUGCUGGGCUUUGGGGGCCACUCAAGAUCCAAAUUAUAAAACAGCCUGCCAGUCCCACCUCCUGGCCACAGUAAAGACCCAGCCGGUGUCCUGCCUGGGAGGCCUCAGUUACACAAUAAACUCUUCUGUGCCCCUCUGCCUCUGUGUGUGAGUGUGUGUGUGUGUGUGUGUGUGUGUGUGUGUGUGUGUGUGUGUGUGUGUGUGUGUGUGUCUUGCUGCCCAUCUGGACAUCUGAACCAGUCUUAGGAGAACAGGUACCUACCUACUUAUUAGAACCCUCAAGUUGGAAUUAACGAUAGCCUCCACCAUCAGUGUUUUUACUGUACUGAUGGGAACCAUGGGCCCUAGAAUUGUGUUACAGAAUAACGCUAGAUAAAGUGGACCUUUGUAUGUUAAUCAGGAGUUCGGAUUCAUCUCAGAAUAAUAAUGGGGGUGGGCUUAAAUAGGGAAUAAGCUUGACCCAAUGGUAGCAUUUUAAAGAUCCUCUGCUAUGAAUGGAACUGUGAUUUUCCUGUCAAUUUACAUACUCAAAUUCUAACUCCCAAGAUGACUUGUUAAGGAGGUAAAGUUAAAUGAAGUCAUAUGGUAGAAUAUUAAUUCAGUUGGACUGAUGUCUUCUGAAAAGAAAAGACAUCAGAAAACUUCUUGAUCUUCUUGCCAACAUGUGCUGGUUUGAAUGAAAAUGGCCCCCAUGGGCUCAUAGGCAGUGGCACUGUUAGGGGGUGUGGCCGUGUUGGGGAAAGUGCUCCUCAGGAGGUGGACUUCGAGGCUUUAGAGCUCAAGCCAGGCCCAGUGAAACUCUCUUUGUGCUUUCUGUGCUCUUAGCUCCUUCACCAGCACCAUGUCUGCUGCAUGCCACCAUGCUUCCUGCCAUGACGAUAAUGAACUAAACCUAUGAACUGUAAGCCAGCCCCAGUUACAUGUGUUCCUUUGUAAGAGUUUUUGUGGUGGUGGUGUCUCUUCACAGAAAUAGAAACCCAAACUGAGACGCCAUAGUAAGCUAGUCUUGGGGGAGAAAGUGAGACUGCCCGUGACUGGGUCUGACUGCUUGGAAUCCAGUUUGACCUCCAGCACCCAUACUCUGUGCAAGCUCCCAGUCUUUACAGUAAGUCAUGGCAGCCUGAGCAGAAGAAUUUCUGACCAGUGUAUAGUGAAGCAAAGGGAGUUAGGAGGAUAUUUAAGGGUAGAAACUGAAACUCCAGUCCAGACGUUAAUCCCUUCAUGUGAACAGCUUUGGAAAUGGAUCCACAGGUUUUUGUGGUAGAAAUGGGUUGGAUCUGCUUCCCCGUUUUCUAUGUGAUUUUAGAGUUACCUUUUCCAAUGGUGUCAGGGAAGCUUUUCAGUAAAGAAUGGCAUCUACCUCCAGGUGAAGACAGACCUCUGUUUCCUUCCUAAGAGUUAACCCCAUUGCGCCAGUCACUCACCCAGCAACUGCUCCCAGGAAGGCAGGUUCACAGUAAGCCAUGCUAAGGAGAUGGGAGGAAUAAUUAUCUUUUUAAUGAGAUCGUGUAUUUUUCCUCUCCAGGAUGCAGUGCAGUUCCUUGGUGCAGUUGCUAUAGAACCACCAUGGGGUUGACUCUGUCUUUCAUUCUGAGACUCAGAAAGGGAUAAUGCUUAUUCUUUCUUUUCUGUUUUUUCUUUCUUCUUUUCCUUUCAGACACCAAUCAGAGCCUCAUGUGUCUCAGAGGUACCUCAAACUUUCUCACUCUUUCUCCCAAGCACCCUACCCUGUCAUGUAGCUGCUUAUCCACCAUGUAGCUGACUCCCAUCCUCAUCCUUGUGGAGGCAGAGACAGGAGAGAUGGCAGGGCUAGGAGGCAGGGAAGUGGGGCAUCCAGCAAUGUUAUGCAAGCCUGACAAUUUGAGUUCAAUCCCUGAAACCAACAGAAAAAGGCCAGAUGUGGUAGCUUGUGCCUCUAAUCCCAGUGUUCCUACUGCAAGGAGGGAGUUGUGGCAGGAGGACUGUCUGGAAGCUUGUUGGUCAGUUAAUGUGGGAUAUACAACACAGAGGCACAAUCGAGAGAGACCAGGCUCAACCAACUCCUGACCUCACAUGAAUGGACACAGAUACAAACAAAUAACAAACAAACAGAAUAAAAAUAAAAAGGAAAGGAAAAGGCAUGACUUCUCCUAUGGAUGGUGGAGGAGAAAGUCUAUUAUAGAUAUAUGGAAGAACACAACCAGAGACAGACACAUCUGAAAGAGUCCAGUAAGGUCACGAACCUGAACUAUGUGUGAAAGAGAUGGAAAGACAGAGGAGAACUUGGUGCAGCAGCCAGGAGGCCAAAGGAACAAAAGGGGAGAGUAAAUGUCUGGAUUAUACAGGAAGAACCUCUGGGGGAAGGGCAGCCCAGCUCCUUGGCUGGAAAGUUUAGCAUGGGGGGUGGGGGGCAGGGGGCGAGGUAUGCCAGCCAUACCCUGUAACAUGUAGAGAGUGAGGGAUGCUGGGAAAACCUGGCAGCCAUUUGUCCUGGGUUUGAAACAACACAAACAAACAUCAUUCUAAACAAGUGUCUAGACAAGACAAACUAUACCCUUGAACAACAAGGUAUAUUGGGGAGAUGUGAAUGCUCUGAGACAGGAAAUACAUUUGACUUUUAUUCUAACUUAGGUGGUCGCUAUGUCUCUUCCCCAUUGGCUAGUGUCCAACCUCAGUCUUAUUCAGUUGCCUAGUCUGAACAGUAUUGGCACAAAGGAAAUCAAGAAGGGAAAAGGUCACUUUUCCAAGGAGAAAAGGAUCACUGCUCCAGGCCAUUAAAUUCCUAAAAUGUAUAUCAAAUGUUUAUCCAAAAAAAAAAAAAAAGUAUAUAAAAAGUCUUACCAAGGUGGGAGAGAUAAAAAGAUUUUAGUUCCUCGUCCUAGAUACAACUCUUACAGUAUUUGAUAGAAAAGACUCACAUUUGAUGAUUCUUACAGGCUUUUAACCUUGGGACCCACCCAAAACAACCUUUUUUUCUGUCAGCUAGACCCUAUCCUCUACAGCAUCCACAACCUUUUAAGACAGCGCCACCUGCUGGAGUCAUUGAACAGGGCAUCUUACAUUCUAACCAUGCCAGUCAAUAUUGCUCAAAAAUCACUGGACACACAUGAGAAAAAUUAUCAGUUGAACACGCUUCUUGAAAGUUUUGUGAAGCCAUUUGAGAGUCAAAUUUCAGCUGUACCUCUGCCUUGUUUUUAAAUAACAUCAACUCUCUCUUCCAGCGGAUUUCCAGAAGAGCAGCGAUGCACAGAAAAUAGAGGUAACUGCUUUUUAGAGAUUAAAUAUUCCCAGUGCAGCUUUGUCUUAGACAUAUUUGGUAGUUUUAUAACAGAUACCAUCUAGCUAACCCUUCGGCUGCUUUCUCAGUUGACCAGGUAUCUCUGCCCAGAGAAAAGUCCCCCUCAUGAGGACUGAAGCAGACACAGACCACUGGGAGACUGGGGGAAUCCUCCUAACUGAGGAAUCCCAGCCCUUUGGUAUGGCUCUGGUUUCAUCAUUCAGCCCUAGCAUGUCUUUGUUAUUUUUUCUUUUUUCUUUUUUUUUCGGAGCUGAGGACCGAACCCAGGGCCUUGCGCUUGCUAGGCAAGCGCUCUACCACUGAGCUAAAUCCCCAACCCCUUUUGGUCUUUUUGUUAUUUUGUCUUUUUUUUUUCCCCUAGCAUGUCUUUAUGAUUCACAUAAUCACAGGACUUGCAUUAGCAUGACAGACAUGAUUCUAUUUUUUCUAAAUUUUGCUUAGUAUACAGAUAAUGAGCUUCAAUGUGACAUUUUCAUACAUAUUUACCAUACUUUGUUCUUAUUUGUCCUAUUGCCCUUUCAUGUCCGACUUCCUCCCCAACGAGUAGUCCCUCCUUCCUUCAUGGCCCACGUUCCAUUACACUAACCUGUUCACUCUACUGUAAAGUGUCUUCCCUUCCUAGUUCCCUUUCUAAUUCCCCAGGGCCCCUCGCUUGCUCACUCUUUCCUGCACGAGCGUGCGCACGUGCUCGAGCGUGCGUGUGUGAGCGCGCGUGCGCACACACACACACACACACACACACACACACACCUUAAAUCUAGACACCAUGAGAGAAAACAUGUGUUUGUCUUUUGUGUCUGAUUUAUUCUCCAGCCCAUGCAGCUGCCCCAAAUGUGAUAAUUUCAUUUCUCUAAACAAUGGAAGGAAGGAUACAAUGGAGGCACCAAACUGGGCUACUCCUCUUGUCUAGAAUAGCCAUCUAGGAAAUUUUCUUCUGUUAUUUAACUGGAUGGAUUUGAUGCCUUUAGUUAUUAUCUUAGAGACUUCUGUCCUUGGAUUCUGAAGAUUGUUAGGAAACUUAGUCAGAUUAUAGAUUUGUUUUACAUGCAUGCUGACUUGCUUACUUUCUUUACUGUCAUAGAAACGUGGUAUUCUUUCAACUUUGUCUUCAGUGUCAGAUACUUUUUCUUGGUUUUGUUUGUUUGUUUGUUUGUUUGUUUGUUUUGUUUUUGAGUCAUUAAAGUUUUCAUUUCCAACAUCCCCCCCCCCAACCUUAAUUUCCUCACAAAAUUUCUCUAUCGUGCUGAUGGUGUUUUCUCCUGUCACACUGAUUUUCCCGAUUAUUUUUCUGACUCUCUGUGUCCCUGACUUCCCAUUCCAGGGUACGCAUCUGCUUGUUUGCACCAUUUCGGAUCACUGAUAAUUUUAACUGGUAAACCUUGGAAGUCUUCACAAGGCAUCACAAGGGCUGUCAGGCGCACAGGACUUCGAGUCGUCUAUGAGACAACCCCAGGGCAUGUCUGUAAAUGGGUUUCCAGAUUCAGUUAAUUGAGGUGGGACGAACCACCUUGAGAAUAGGCAGCACCAUUCCAUGGGCUGGGGUCUGAACCAAAGUAGAAAGGAAGCUGAACGCCAGUGCUCAUCUCUCUUUGCUGCCUGACUGCGGACAAAGUGCAAGCAGCAGCCUCAUAACUACCACGAUGACUGUUUGUAUCCUCAAAGCCUUAAAUAAUAAAUAAAUAAAUAAGGCCUUCCUUUUUUAGUUGUAGGACUUUCUCAGACUCGCCAGCGGUUCAAUAUCGACGUGGAGACAUCUAAUACAGUUUAAAGCUUAGGCUAUUUACAGUCUUUCAGCCACUUUCUAACUUAAUCCAACUUCCUAGCGCUGUGUCCCACCACCUCCCUGCUCGGCUACGGUCUCCCUUCCGUUCUGUUUUGUACCUGACUCUGAAUUUCCCGGAUCUGCUUUCUUCUUCCUGAGUCACUCUCCCUGCCCGGAAGUUCCACCCUCAUACUUUCUGCCCCAGCUAUUGGCUAUCAGUUCUUUAUUACAACCAAUCAGCAGUAAAACAACACCAGAACAUCUCUUAGCUUGACGAAGGCAUUGAGAGAUGCCUGACUUUCAUGUUUUGGGAAGGUGUGGAAGGACAAGCAUUUACCAAUAUAAAGCUGAGGAUAGGCCGUAGAAAUGAUACCAAAAUCCUGCCAACACUUAGCCCUCUGCUGAUACUGUAGUCAACAAUUCAAACUACAGACAUACCUCAUAUGAAUAAAUUCAUCCUAAAAAAAAGUUGCUUCUGCCUGGUAUUUUGCUACAGCAAUGCAAAAGGAAUGAAUACAAGCAUUUUAAACAUUUCUGUAUCUUUGAAUAUAAGAAUCACGAUCUUUGGUGGACCCACACUGUCUUACUUUUUUAUAUUUGUUGGUUUGGACAUCCCUCCUGGUUGCCUUUGGGGGUUGCUUUAUUGAGCAGUCCACUUUUCCAAUACUUGUGAAGGAGGAGAAAACAAACUGCUUCAGAACAAGGCUUCUGCUACCCCGGUUCAGAUUAUGAAUAGCCAGUUGGAUUUUUUUUUUUUUCGGCCAGAGAGGUAAGCUGUCAAGAAAUGUGAAAAUAGAGCUUGCUGCAUUGAUAUGCUAUGCUGCAACUUUUAUUAACCAAUAUUACUAUUAAAGACAUUUCUAAGCUCU